GUAGUCUGCAACUCGACUACAUGAAGCUGGAAUCGCUGUAAUCGCGGAUCAGAAUGCCGCGGUGAAUACGUUCCCGGGUCUUGUACACACCACCCGUCACACCAUGGGAGUCGGGAAUGCCCGAAGCCAGUGACCCAAGCGAAAGCAGGAGCUGUCGAAGGCAGGCCGGAUAACUGGGGUGAAGUCGUAACAAGGUAUC
rnacentral:rRNA from 1 species